CAAAUUUUGAUUGGUCCUUCAUUCCUUUAAUUUAAUUGGUCAACCACUCCCUUAUCUGAUUGGUCCCAUUAAACCUACUUAAAUCUAACUAGCCCUCUUUCCCACAAGGUGGGAGUUUAUAAAUUUCUAAUCUAAAAUUGAAUAAAACGACUUCAAAUGUCUGAAACUAAAAUGUUAUAAUCCAGACUCGCAAAUGGCUUUCGCCUAUGCAUUCGUAGUGACGAGUACUACAAGGAUACACUAAAAGAAUAAGUCAUACGUCUCUCUAACCAAUAAUCAACGAAAGUCAAAAUCUUUGCCUCAAGAGAAUUUUCUUAAAAUCACUAAUUUAAAAUUUAUAAAGCUUAAAAUUAGGGACGGGUUGUCACAUUAUGCUCACAAAUAAUAUUAAAAACAUAAAGUCUAUGAAAAGUCUAUCUGUAAAGCUAAACAAGGCAUGUCACAUCAUAAUAUAUAAAAGCAAUUGUUAGAAAAAUCACAUACAUAUAUAUAUGUAAAAACGAAAAGAUCCACUCAUAGAUACUUGCGAUGUCACAUUCAUUCGGGCUAGGAAAGUCGAAGUCUCCGAUAGUAAUCACACCUAAGCAUAAUAUUGGAACCUAUUAGUAAAACUAAACUUAAACGACUAAAUUUAGGAAAAUGGAGUGCAGAU
rnacentral:lncRNA from 1 species